rnacentral:rRNA from 1 species
GACAGAGGGUGCAAACGUUGUUCGGAAUUACUGGGCGUAAAGCGCGUGUAGGCUGCUUCGCAAGUCGGGUGUGAAAGCCCUGGGCUCAACCUAGGAAGUGCAUUCGAAACUGCAGAGCUGGAGUCCUGGAGAGGAAGGCGGAAUUCUCGGUGUAGAGGUGAAAUUCGUAGAUAUCGAGAGGAGCACCGGUGGCGAAGGCGGCCUUCUGGACAGUGACUGACGCUGAGACGCGAAAGCGUGGGGAGCAAACAGG